ACUAUUUUGGCAGAUAAAUGCGUUGGAAUUAGAAUCCAUUAAUGUAUAAAUUACAUAUAGUA
rnacentral:tRNA from 1 species